rnacentral:rRNA from 1 species
CCCUUAGAUGUUCUGGGCUGCACGCGCGCUACACUGCUGCGAUCAACAAGUUUUUCCUAUGUCGAUAGACACGGGUAAUCUUUUGAACUCGCAUCGUGAUGGGGAUAGAUUAUUGUAAUUAUUAAUCUUCAACGAGGAAUUCCUAGUAGGUGCAAAUCAUCAGUUUGCAUCGAUUACGUCCCUGCCCUUUGUACACACCGCCCGUCGCUGCUACCGAUUGGUUGAUCUGGUGAAUUAUUCGGACUGCCGGCUGAAGGGGUUUCCUCAUCUGCCAGCGGAAAGUCUUGUUAACCCUAUCAACUAGAGGAAGCAGAAGUCGUAACA